rnacentral:lncRNA from 1 species
GCAGCGGGCGACGACCUCCGCCAUCUCCUCCGCCACAGACCUCCGCCGUCUCCUCCGCCACAAACCCACAUCGUCUUCGACGUCUCCUCCGGCACAAACCCCCACCGUCUCCGCCAUCAUCUCCUCCGAGCGUCGCCUCCAUCAGUUUACAAAUUUCACUGUUUUAUUGAAUCAAGAGUUGUGCUUGUUGACAGAAUAUGCUAUGCUAUCCCAAGAUUUUUAUCUAUUGGUGGCUUGAAGAAACUGAUUAUAUUCAUCAGUUCAUAUGGUCUGCAGUGAUGUCGUCUAUAAGGGUAUAUGAUCCAUUUACAUAAAGCAUUGUUUAUUGGGAGAUCCUAAAAGAUGUGUCUCACUUGAACCUGAUGAAAUAACUAACAAUCUGCUAAUCUUAUCUUGGUCUCAAGGUAAGUUCAGAUACCCUUAAGAGGAUAUGAUUUCUAGGUGAU